rnacentral:rRNA from 1 species
UACGAGUGCCUCAAGCGUUAUCCGGAAUCAUUGGGCGUAAAGGUUGUGUAGGUGGUUGUAAUUAGUCUCUUGUUAAAUUCUUCGGCUUAACCGGGGGCAUGCAAGGGAAACGGUACGACUAGAGGAUGCGAGGGGUCUGUGGAAUUCAUAGUGUAGCGGUAAAAUGCGUUGAUAUUAUGGAGAACACCAAAAGCGAAGGCAGCAGACUGGGA